GCUACUGCUAUCGGGGUCCGACUAAGCCAUGCGAGUUGAGAGGGGUAAGCCCUCGGCGAAUUGCUCAGUAACACGCGGACAACCUGCCCUUGGGUCCGGGAUAACCCCGGGAAACUGGGACUAAUACCGGAUAGAUCAAGGAUACUGGAAUGUUCCCUGGUCUAAAACUCCGGUGCCCAAGGAUGGGUCUGCGGCCUAUCAGGUAGUAGUGGGUGUAACGUACCUACUAGCCUACGACGGGUAAGGGUUGUGAGAGCAAGAGCCCUGAGAUGGAUUCUGAGACAUGAAUCCAGGCCCUACGGGGUGCAGCAGGCGCGAAAACUUUACACUGCGGGAAACCGCGAUAAGGGGACCCCGAGUGCCAGCACCUAGUGCUGGCUGUCCCGCUGUCUAAACAACAGUGGUUAGCAAGGGCCGGGCAAGACCGGUGCCAGCCGCCGCGGUAACACCGGCGGCCCGAGUGGUAGCCGUUAUUAUUGGGUUUAAAGGGUCCGUAGCCGGCCUGUUAAGUCUCUUGGGAAAUCUGGCGACUUAAUCGUCAGGCGUCCAAGAGAUACUGACAGGCUUGGGACCGGGAGAGGUGGGAGGUACUCCAGGGGUAGGGGUGAAAUCUCGUAAUCCUUGGGGGACCACCGAUGGCGAAGGCAUCCCACCAGAACGGGUCCGACGGUGAGGGACGAAAGCUGGGGGCACGAACCGGAUUAGAUACCCGGGUAGUCCCAGCUGUAAACGGUGCUCGCUAGGUGUCAGGUGCGGUGCGACCGCAUCUGGUGCCGCAGUGAAAACUUGAAGCGAGUCACCUGGGAAGUACGGUCGCAAGGUUGAAACUUAAAGGAAUUGGCGGGGGAGCACCACAAGGGGUGAAGCUGCGG
rnacentral:rRNA from 1 species